rnacentral:rRNA from 1 species
GACGGAGGGUGCUAGCGUUGUUCGGAAUCAAUGGGCGUAAAGGGCGCGUAGGCGGCCUUGCAAGUCGGUUGGUGAAAGCCCGGGGCUCAACCCCGGAGGUGCGGCCGAGACUGCAGGGCUGGAGGCCGGAAGAGGAGGGUGGAAUACCCAGUGUAGAGGUGAAAUUCGUAGAUAUUGGGUGGAACACCGGUGGCGAAAGCGGCUCUCUGGUCCGGACCUGACGCUGAGGCGCGAAAGCGUGGGGAGCAAACAGG